GCAUAUACCAGGUAGUAUGUAUAUGUCUGGUAAUAAACAUACUCAGUAAUAAGAUAUGCAUGGUAAUAAGCCUAUUCCCCGUAAUAAACAUGCACCCAGUAAUAAGCCUAUGACUAAAAAUAAGUCUAUGACUGGCAAUAAGCCUAUGUCUGAUAAUAGGCCUAUAUCUGGUUAUAAGCCUAUUCCCGGCAAUAAGCCUAUGUCUGAUAAUAGGCCUAUAUCUUGUUAUAAGCCUAUUCCCGGUAAUAAGCCUAUGUCUGAUAAUAGGCCUAUAUCUGGUUAUAAGCCUAUUCCCGGUAAUAAGCCUAUGUCUGAUAAUAGGCCUAUAUCUGGUUAUAAGCCUAUUCCCGGUAAUAAGCCUAUGUCUGAUAAUAGGCCUAUAUCUGGUUAUAAGCCUAUUCCCGGUAAUGAGCCUAUGUCUGAUAAUAGGCCUAUAUCUUGUUAUAAGCCUAUUCCCGGUAAUAAGCCUAUGUCUGAUAAUAGGCCUAUAUCUGGUUAUAAGCCUAUUCCCGGUAAUAAGCCUAUGUCUGAUAAUAGGCCUAUAUCUUGUUAUAAGCCUAUUCCCGGUAAUAAGCCUAAGCCAGGUAAUAACCAUAAACCAGACAAUAAGUCUGAGUGGUAAAAAACCUUAACCUCAUAAUAAGCCUUUGACUGGUAAUAAACAUAUACCAGGUAAUAAGUAUAUGCCUGGUAAUAAGCAUAUAUACAGUCUGUACAUGGUAAUAAGCAUUACCAGGUUAUAAGUAUAUGCCUAGUAAUAAGCCUAUAUCCAGUUAUAAGCAUAUACUCAGUAAAUAACAUACACAUUGUACCAGGUAAUAAGCCCAUCCAUUCCCUAUCCCGUACCUAUACAGUCACUUUAGUUAAAUGUUAUCAAGUGUUACUCAUACCCACACAUUUCAGUCUAAAGAGCCCUUCUUAAAACUUGGUCACACAUCCUUUGAAUAACAGUAUGUCCGAGAUGUUCAAACCCGAAGUUACAGAGUAGUAGGUGGUAUUCCUACCAGUGAAAUAUUUGGUAGGAAAACAAUAGUAUGUUUUAUCAAUAUAUAACCUGUAUUUUAUUUCAAUAUAGCAGCUCAACUAUGACUAGUAGUGAGAUAAACUGCACAGUUAUACUUCACAAUAAAAUCAUUAUUAAAAUAUGGUAUAUUAGUGUGCACAGUCUCCAGCAUACUGUCAUAAUGUGCUUGAUCAAAGAAUUUAUAAUUUUUUUUUUUGAAUUUGAAAUUGGUUAAAUAUGGUCUUCAAAUUUACCCUAACAAGGUGCCGAGAUUCUGUGAGCCAUUAUAUUUAGUGUUUGUGGAUCUGUUCAUCACUAUCAUAUAGGUGGAAGUAAAUGGAUCAACUCAUGGUUUUAAUUCCUACCAUUUUCUGUAUUUCCAUCAGACAACAAAAAUAUCUUUCUCUCUUCUCAAAAUUAUUGUAAAAUAGCCUUUCUCUCUUCUCAAAAUUAUUGUAAAAUAGCCUUUCUCUCUUCUCCGAAUUAUUGUAAAAUAGCCUUUCUCUCUUCUCAAAAUUAUUGUAAAAUAGCCUUUCUCUCUUCUCCGAAUUAUUGUAAAAUAGCCUUUCUCUCUUCUCAAAAUUAUUGUAAAAUAGCCUUUCUUUCUUCUUUGAAUUAUUAUUACAUUUUUUUGUAUAUUCACACAUUGGAACAACACAGUAUAAUCAAAACGGAUUCUCACAUACCUUAAAGUUUACACUAACAACAGAAAAAAAAAAUCACAAAAUUUGUAUUUUAAACUUGUACAAAAUCUAAUCA